rnacentral:sRNA from 1 species
UUCCGAGGAGGCGGGGCUGGGGCGGGCGCAGGACUGCAGGCUGGGGCUCCGCCACCCGGCGCGAGCCCGCGCGUGGUUCCCAGCGAAGUCACCGGGCGGCUGGGCCCAUCGUGAGUAUUCUCCGCCCGCUGUCCUCCCCCUGCAGGCGGCAGCGCCCGUUUAUUUGAGGAGGAUGAGGCUCUCACUACUACAGUUGGGACUGUUUCAUACUCCGUGCUCUUGUGCUUAUGCCAGGGGGUACUGUCUAACCCACAAGUCUCUGCCAGGAAUGUUGCUGUCCACACUGGAGUGUAAGACACCUGCGGAGCUCGUCUAUGGGGCUCAUGUUGGCUGAGGCUCUGAACUACAGAAUUGCAAACAUCCAAGGGAGCGCCCCAGGCCCCCAGGCUUCUAAUGUGAGGAAAAACACGGAAUGACAAGUGUGGGAAAGAGCAAGCACUAAAUUACUGUCAGAAAAAUAAACGGAGUAGCACAGUGGUGCUCAGUGAUUUACGGGGGCAAUUAGUCACCACCCCACGGCGCUGCUGAGGACAGCACGGCAGCAGACGAGUCAGGCCCACGAGGAAGAAGAGUCUUUGCACUGCUCUCCAGACAACUUUUCAAACAACAAGAGAGGAUAUUUGAGCACAUUAGGUUUUGUGUCUUCAUUCUGGGUGCCUACUCUUCAUAUUAUUCUACCAACUUAAUACAUAAACAUAUUUUUAGCACAAUAUG